rnacentral:lncRNA from 1 species
CAAGAAGAAAGUACAUUAAGCCACCUUCUUCCCAGGAAAGAGAGAAAAGCGUCAAGUCCGUGGGGUGGGGAGAUGGUGCCUCAGAUGAGGAGGCUGAGUCCCAGGGUACACUCAGACCAGGAAGGCAGGCAUCUCAGCAGUGACAAGAACAGGCUAAAGGACAAGAGCCCUACUCCAAUAUUCUGAGUUUGUGAGAACCCCAGGAUUUUACCACCCAGGUGUGCAACAGAAGUGACCACGUGCCAGUUCUGAGUCUGGGCCUCAGGUGGCCUUGGAGCUCCCACUUGUUCUCUUGGAACCUUCGCCAGGCCCCAUGUGAGCAUGACUAGGGUGGCCUGCUGGGAUCAGACACCAUGUGGAGGACACCAUCUCAGAGGCCAUCCUAGACUAGCAGAGCACAAAAUGAGAGCGCAGCCGGACAAGAACCUCCCCCAACCCUGCUGUCUUAUAGAUUCAUGAGCAACAAUAAAUGUCUGUCAUUCAAAGUAUCA